AAUAUCAAUAUUCCUUUUAAAAUCCAUUAAUGAUGGUUGAUCAUCUCUAAAUUUUCAUCAAAAUUGUUCAUGUUUAUUUAUUUAUUUAUUUUCUUUUUUGAUGUAAAUCCUAACAUGGACAAUCAUGUCAACAUUGUUUUCUUGUUAAUUUGUUCUAUGGCUGUCCAAGUUUUGCAAAAUAUUCUUGCUCAACAAUAAAUUUUGAAUGUUGCCCACAAUCUAAAUUGAAAUAACAAUUGAGAAGAAGAAGGAUAUGAGGAUUAAUAUCCUCCUUUUUUGUGAAACAAAGUGCAUGUUCAAAUUAUAAUCCAUGCUUCUAAAUCUCCUUGGUUCAUAAUAUCUGUAAUUGACCUGAAUAAGAUAUCAUACAUACAUACACAUAUAUAUUCAAGGUAAUCAAUAUCAGAAUUAUAGGUUCUGUAAUGGUUUUUUUGAUGAUCCUUAAUGAAUCAGGCUUCUGAUUAAAAGCAAUCAAAAAGUUGAUACAUGAACUCUUUACAUUUUGUUUUAAAUUUCAUUUCAUCCUAGAAUGGUACAAAUUUUUGUCCAAAUUGUAUCAUUCUGACAACAAAUCUGAGCUGAAAUAGCGAACUUGAACCACUUUUAAUUUUGGUCAUCAAGUUAACAUCCUUGUUAUACUUUUCAUUCACAACGUUUCUCAAAACAAGUUUGUAACAAACUGUAUACUUCAUCAAAAUUACCAACAACAUAAAAAUUGGAAAAUAUCAAGUAAAUAUGCAUGCACAUAGUUAUAUAUACAUGUACAUAUUUAUACAUAUAAAUAUAUAUACAGGGAGGCACACCACUUAGACGCAAGGUACAGGAUCCAUAGCAGCAUGGAUCAUGAACCUCCGGAUCUGAUCCGGGGCCACCACUCAACUCUCCCAACAGCACCACUGCACUGCACUCCACAUCGUCAAGACGACACAAAAGCCCACAUCACAGCAGCUGCAACCGAUGAAGAUGAAGAAGUAGAAGCAGCAGCAUGUGGGUACUCUUUCAUUCUGUCUGUCUGUCUGUCUGUCUCUCUCACACACACGUGUAUAUCUAUAUGCAAGUGUGUGAGUGAGUGUGUGGAGAUGUCUGUAUGUAUUUAUACAUAUAUAUAGACAGUAGAAUUUACACAAGGCUGCUGCGGGAGUGAGUGAGUGAGUGCUCCAUUGCAGCAGCAGCACCUCGACGGGGUAAUCACGACGCCGAAUCCAGCACAGAUAAUAAAUGCUUCUUCUUCUUCGCAGUGAGUGAGUGAGUGCCAAGCGCCGUUGCAGGGCGACAAAGGAACAGAAACUCGAAGGAGGGGAAGAAGAAGAAGAAAAAGGAGGGGGGACAAUUUGUUGCUAUUUGUUGUGAGGGUGUAGUAGUAGUAAUAGUAGUGCUUUAUGACUAGUUUGGCAUCAAAUCAAUAAAUGAUGCAAAGUAGCAGCAAGAAUAAUAAUAAUAAUAAUAAUAAUGUUAAUGUGGUAAACGAGAAAGAAACUUAUUCCAAGCAGCAGAAACUUAUGUUCCUCUUCUUGUAACCCACUAGACUCCCACUUCCAACAUCAUCAUCUGAAUUCAACGUGAAUGUUUAUUUAUUUAUUUAGUCUAAUUUCAUUUGUGUACAUGUUUUGAAUGAGAACUUCUACAUAGUAAAACUUAACAUGACAUGCACAGAAAAAAGUAAUACAAAUAAAAAUG
rnacentral:lncRNA from 1 species